rnacentral:lncRNA from 1 species
GGGUUUUGUGGCCUGCCCAACGCCAGGCUAGUGGAGCCGGAGGCUGGCGCCGCCGAGGCCGCCGCGGCCGGGGUGUGGGGAGUGCACCGCGCACGCGCGCCCGUGGGGUCGCCGGCUCCCCGCGCCCGGGCUCCGAGCGGCCGGAACCCUCGCGCCCCGCCCUGCCCGGAGCCACCCGGAGCCGCUGAGUCCCGGACCCGCUCCGCUGGCCGGGCGGGGCUAUUUUUUUCGGCCCGUGUUCUUUCAGCGGCCGGGAAGGAACAUUCUUGGCUUUCCCCGCCUGGCUGCGCCUGUUCCCGCUCCUCCCCCGCCGCGUGUUUUCCGCCCCAGUAAAGAUCGUGCCACACAAAUAAGCCUCGAAUGCCCUUUGCCAAGCGGGCGGGAGGGCACGAGUGCAGAGCCUGAGCGGGCCAUUUUCAGGGCGCGUCUCCGGAGCCGCUAAAAGUCUUGUUUUCUCCCCAAGUGGAAGGUAUAGGGGGCGGGGGCGGCGUGGGGCCGCUUCCAACUGCUACACACGCUCGAAUAGUUGUCAGUAAAAUCAAACUGACGUCAGCCCGGGGGAAAAAGGUCUCUUUUGUUCUCCUGUUCUUCCCCCUCUCCUCCCUUGCGAUCAAAGGCAAAAAACAUUUUUUUGGAGGUGGGGGAAAAGACAAAAAGGAAAAAAAAAUUGCAACGCAAAGAGAUAGCUUCCAUUAGAGCUCCUGCCCGGGCGACGGGAAUGUUUAAUGAAUGCAUCAAGUCUUUUGAUCACCCUCGCCCGGCUGGGUUCAGUAGUGCCGGAAGGUUAGUUGCAUAUCCUGUGGCUGAUCUGAAAUUCGAUCAGCAGAGGGGGCAAAGAAAAGAAAAGCAUUUUAAUGGGAAUCAAUAGAGGAUCAUAGGUCCUGGAAGGAAAUACGUGUUGAUUAAAAAUGCCAGAAGAUUAAAAAAAUGUUCACGACUGGUUAAAAAAUAAGGAGGAAAGGAAAAAGCAAGGGAGGGAGAGGGAAGAGAAGAGAGGAGGAUAGGGGGAGGAGGAGGGAAAAAAACCUCUUAGCAAUCUAUUUUCUGUGUGUGUUGCUGCCAGAGAGGCAGUCAGCAGACCAACAGUUUGUGUAAUGCUUCAAGCUACAGCGGGCAAAUUUAAAGCUGUAUGCUCAGAACAACAUAAUAAAUACUUAUUGAAAAUGCAUUUCUAUUUCUAAGCGGGGUUCACUCAUGCAUUAUACAAAACACCUAGGGCUGCAGUAGCGAGACACAGGGGACAAAUAUGGUGUACUGUGACUCAGGUUCUUAAAACUUGAGCUUUUAGCAGUUGAGAGUAAGAACAUACUUUUUUAAAGUUAAAAAAACAACAACUAGCAGCUUUGAAAGAUACCAAAGACUUAAAUUGCCCGAAACUUUACAUUAAGUCGUAACUUAAAAAAUAGUCUGAUAACUGAGGAUGAGGAGAGAGUGGGAGGGGAGUUAACCACGGUAGAUAGCAUAUUGACUGGGUUACAGAGUGGAAAAUUAUUGCCCUGUAGGUAGGCAAAGUGAUCAACAGUGUGAUAAAAUGGUUGAAGGUUUUAUGAAUAUCCAUCUACUACAGUAGGAAAGGAAAGGCGGCUUUUAAAAACCCACUCUGACACAAAAACACAGCUAUACAUCCUAUUUCUAUGGCUUUUUGGAAAAGAAUCAAUAGCGUUUACAUUUUUACACAUUAAACAAAGAAAGUUCCUUCAGUAUUGUGAAGACAUCCAGAAGGCAAUGAGAUCUCCCAUCCAGGAGAUCUUCAGUCAUGCUGUCCAGUGGAUCCUCCUCGAGUCUGAGCUGCAGCUGAGGUGAUGUUAAAUGACUUCCAAUACUGGCUUCUAAGAGUCUUGCUGUCUCUUGGAAUGAUGGCUCUUGGGACACUCCCUCCCAGGACCCAGCUGUAAUCUUCAAGAAUGAAUUGUGUGUAGGCCAUGUUGUUUCUCCUCUGUGAUGCUUGCUUGCCAUCCCUGCCUUGGAGCCAGCCCAUUAUGGACUGAAACCUCUACAAACUAGCUGGGUCUUCUGGCUUGGACCCGGCUUGGAGAGGAUCCCAGGAAAAAGCACAGAAUAAAGACAGCUGAAGCUCAGAGGGAUUACAGUGACCCAGCCAGAAAUGUGGAGCCUGGAACUGAUCUUUGCUGUUACCGGCCACCCCUUUGGCUGCAAGCCUGAGUGACCUAAACACUCUGAGUGUACAAGGCAUUGUCCAUCGUCUGAGUCACUCCAUUCAUGACUCUUCAACAGCUAACAGAAGCUCAGCCUAAAGAGAAGGGAAAUCCAACGUCCCAACCUGGAGACAUAGUACUGGUGUCAAGAUGGCAGGCCUAGACUCCUGGGUACAUCACACCUGACUCAAGCCCGAGGAACAAGAGACUGUCACUGAGUGUGAGCAACCAUCCAAAUACUCCUGUGAAUACUUAAAAUUCUUGUUCAAAAAAAGAAAUCAAAGUCUUCAGCAACACACUACUUCUGGCUCUUCCUCAAAGUUCAAACACCAUGAGUGAAAAGGUUUUGAGUCCAUUCAGGACACCAAGGCAGCCAGGACAGUACAACUGAAGACCCUAGAAAGACUUCCGGAACUGCUUCAAAAGGGGCAAGGACAAUGGGAUUGAUCACAAGAGAGGACAUACUUUUAAUUAUCCAGACUCCUCAUUUUGGAGGAUUUGGUCACCCUCGUGCUUUGCUCUAUCCAGAUCUAAAAGGAUGAACUGCUGGCCUAGAAGGCUCCGCUUCUGGGCAAUGGAUGGGCCACUGUCUCCUUGCUGGCUAAGGCCUGCCAGGAAGCCUCAUAGACUGGCUGUGUCAUCAAGAUAACACCACAAAUGGAACCCAGACGAGUCAUAUUGUGAAACAGGUGAACAUCAAGCUGUGGCAACUUCCAUAGGAAUCCUUGAUUCAGAGUUUGGGCUGAGGAAAAGAUGACAGGGAAUUGAGCAAAAUGGUUUUACACGAGAUGGGGUUGAUGUAUCAGUUGUAUGCCAGACUGGAAGACCAGACUCGAAGACCAGACUCCUGCUGAGAGGGAGCCAUGGAA